rnacentral:rRNA from 1 species
GACGAACGCUGGCGGAAUGCUUUACACAUGCAAAUCGAACGGCAGCACGGACUUCGGUCUGGUGGCGAGUGGCGAACGGGUGAGUAAUAUAUCGGAACGUGCCCAGUCGUGGGGGAUAACGUAGCGAAAGCUACGCUAAUACCGCAUACGAUCUACGGAUGAAAGCGGGGGAUCGCAAGACCUCGCGCGAUUGGAGCGGCCGAUAUCAGAUUAGGUAGGUGUUGAGGUAAAGGCUCACCAAGCCGACGAUCUGUAGCUGGUCUGAGAGGACGACCAGCCACACUGGGACUGUGACACGGCCCAGACUCCUACGGGAGGCAGCAGUGGGGAAUUUUGGACAAUGGACGCAAGUCUGCUCCAGCCAUUCCGCGUGCAGGACGAAGGCCUUCGGGUUGUAAACUGCUUUUGUACAGAACGAAAAGGUCUCUAUUAAUACUAGGGGCUCAUGACGGUACUGUAAGAAUAAGCACCGGCUAACUACGUGCCAGCCGCCGCCGUAA